ensembl:lncRNA
AAAAGGGGCCAUGGUUUUUAAUGUUUUCCACAGUGCUUAGAAGCCCAAUUCUAUUCCUCACAGGCGAUCUCUGGAGAAACAGUCUUUCUAAACACUAGACACCUGGAAGAAGCAAGGCUGUUCAGGAACAUCUGGGCUUUGAUUCUGCCUUCUCUCCUUAGAUAAAGUUGUGGCCUUAUUGGCACUGGGUUUGUCUCAAGAACCAGCAGGAACCCAGAUGUUUUUAAUUUCUCCCCAUUAAAGGGCAUAGCUUGUUAGGGCUUGUUCUUCCCAAAGUGGUGAUGUAAGCCCUGAGCGUAACAGAGAAGUGGAACCAUCACAAUUGAGCUUGUCAGAUAUUGCAAGACCCUACGUUGUCCUCUUGCUGAUAUUGCAUGACUUUAGAGGCGAAUGGAAGCUGCUGAGAUAUACUGCAUCUGUUCCUGCCCUGAGUGACUGCCUCACUGCUGCUCUUCAGAUCAAGAGGAACUGUACUCAAGGGGCUAUAUUUAAGGAACUGUACCUAAGAAGUUCAUCUGUACCUGGUCCUGAAGCCUCAGCCCGACAUUGUGGGUAUUGAGGAAUGAGUAUAUUUUGCAUGUGGGAGAGAUACGAACUGCUGUGGCUAGAAGGUGCACUGUGGUAUGUUGUAUUUUCAAAAACUGGUCUCAACAAUAUUUCUGGUCUCACAUGCUCUUCUAGAACCUUACCGCUUCCCGUCAAGAGACUGAAUUUAUUCUCACCCACCCCUUGAAACUGGGCUGGACUUUACAUUGAUUAAUAGAAUGUGGAGGAAGUGAUACUGUAUGACUUCCAAGGAUGGGUCAUAAAAGAUGGUACUGCUUCUGCUUGGCUUUCAGGAUGCUUACCUUUGGAACCUAGCCACCCUGGUAUGAGGAAGCCUGGGCCACAUACAGAAGCCAUGUGUAGGUAUUCUGGCACCAACCAAGGUUUCAUCUGACAGCAUCAACCACCAGAUAUGUUAGUGAAUGAGUCGUUUUAUAAUUUUAGUCCCCAGCCUUCAAGCCACCCCACCAGAUGCUGAGUGGGGCAGAGAUGAUCUAUCCCCUCUGAGACCUGUCCAAAUUGCAGAUUCAUGAGCAAACUAAAUAUUGUUUUAGGUCACUAAGUAUUAGGGUAAUUUUUUUCAGUGUAGCCAUAGUAACUGAAAUAAUUAGGUUUAUAAUUUUUGGGUUUUUUUUUUAAAUUAAGUUUUGGUAAUAAAGUUAUGCUGGCUUCAUGAAAUGAAUUGCAAAACAUUUCAUCUUUUUAUUUGGUAUGGAAUAACUUAAGUAAUUAUUUGUUGUUUAAAAGUUAGGUAGAACUCAGAUUUAAAGUUUUUUUUGUGUAUUAUUAUUUAAAAUAAUAGUCACCUUUCCAAUCUCUUUUUUGAUAAUUAGCCAAUUUGGGUUUUCUACUUGGUUUAAUUUGGGUUAUAUAUAUUUUCUAGGAAAUCAUACAUUUCUCCUAUUCCUAGUCUUGCUAAUAUUUGUUUUGUCUUACAUUCUUAAUUGUGUGUAUCUUGUUAAUUUUUAAAAAAACAUCUUUUGGAAUUCUUUAUCAAUUCUACUACUAUUUUUCUAUAUUACCAAUUAUAUCUCUUAUCUUCAUUUGCUCUUCGAAUUUUCUUUGGAUAAUUUUGUGCUUUUUUUUUAAAAAAAAAUCCCUUAAGAUAAACGGAAUAUUCCCACAGUUUUAGUAGUUUGUCUUCAUAAUGAAAGGAUUUAGGCACAUCAAUUUUUAUUUUUUUUGAAAAUAUAGCUUUUGCUGUCUUCUGUAAAUUUUUAUGUAUUUAUCUUUCAUUAAUUUCUAGAGUUUGUGAUUUUUCUCUUAGAUCAACAAUUUUUGUCAUUAAGAUGUCUCAAACAUUAAAAAUUAUUUCUAAUAUUAUUGA